CUGACAUCUCUGCAGUGCCGAGGGUAAUAAUGCGUGGUACUUCAUCACCAAUCCACCACAUGUCUGCAUGGCACGGCGUUUAAUUAAGCAGAAGAACAACCUCGCCUCUUGUUUUUACAAGAGACUGUCACUGUUCCUGUAGCAGAGAACAAGAUCCGAGCUCAGAAAGACAUUUCACUUUCCAUCACGAUACGUUCAGCCGUGACAGGUGUUUCGUUAUGAUGGACGUCUUUCCGAUUAAAAACAGAACUUGCGGUGGCCUCACACCCAUCUUGCUCGCAUGAUUGGCCUCGUCGGGGUUCGGCUGUUACCAGAAUGAAAGCUUCACUUCAACGAGAACAAAAUACCGGUGCUGCGAAGAUGGAGAUUUAAUACAACAGAAAAUAUAUUACUAGAUAAGGGUUCCUAAAAUUCAGAUGUUGGUCUUGUUAUGACACUCAUAAUCUUGAAGUCAAUUACCAACGUUUCGGGCAACAUACUGCCUCCGUCUAUCCAGAAUACGAAAGUAACAUGCUCCUCGGAAUGACAACACAGUAUCACAGACCAGAAUACCAAAAUUUAAACUCUCACAGUCGUCAAAGCCUGAAAUAUCAAGUUCCUUAGAUGUUCAUAAAGCUGGGUACAGAAGUAUGAAAUAUGAACAAAUACUGGAAAGAAAAAAGAUUUUUACUUGUGUAUAUUUCACAGUUGAACGGAACUUGAUUUUGGAACACCUUCUCGAAUAGUGCGUUAAACGCCCACCAUCCUCCACGUGUAAGUGACUUCGUGAACUAACACUCGCCUAGCUGUGGUGUGGUUUGCGUAUAUAGGCUAACUGCCGUUCAUUAUGCAGUCUCUCUCAGACGAAGACAGCAAAAGGGAAUGGUGACGCAUUUCCAGACCUGGUUGAAACUGGGCUUGGAGCCAACUAAAGCCUGCUUCCGACAGCCAUCGCUAAAAGAAUCUGACACCCAUCAUAAAGUGGCGCCAAGAUCAUAAAAUCCACGGUAUAAAAAUAUUUUUUGUUACUGUUCCUAAAAGCACGCCACCUUGGAGCUGCAGAUGAAAUUAAUAAAGUUCAAUUUCACAGAUUAAGAUGGUGCCAAACCUACUUUCUAGCAAUCCUACUGUUUAUGCUUAUUACCAUCACCAUUGUCUGUAAAUAUAUGCUACAACCUGGAAGGAAUGGCUACGAACAGACCACUAUGCAACACUGAUUACUGAAAGACACAGAUCAGGACAUCACCACAGCCCAAAGGAUGUAAACUGUUGAAUGUGGUCUUCUGGGUUGCCAUGUCAUGGAAUCCUACAGAUGGUAACCAACAAUUCAUAUCAAUACACUGCUACCAUCAUCCAAAGAUGGAGGCAGGACAUCAUUCUCCAAAAUAUUACCACCUACAAGACAACACAGCAUCACAACCUAAAAGACCACAACUGAGAUUUACCUCUGUGAGAGAGGACCUCAAACUUCAAAUAGGGAUUUACAAUGGGCCAAAAUAAAAUUCAUGAAGUCUCAAUUUCCCAUAAUAAACCUCUGUAAAAAUUUGUUAAGUGGUUUUGGAAAAUGAAACAUGUGAAUACAGAAAAAUAAGACACACACACUCAUUUUAUGUACACAUCUGAUUAUAUGUUUGUGCACAGUCCAUUGCAAUUUGAUGUUACCUGAAUAUCAUGAAGUGACAGAAAAUAAAGCCAUUGAACCACAAUCAAGACUAACAUGGAGCCAAAAAUAUUAAUUUUUGUAUGAGAACAUACGCAUGGAAAACUGUAUAGUCACGUAUGAGAAUUUUCCAGAGUGAAUGAAAUACUAUAUUUAGAGCACAGUAUUUAUAACAAAGGCUUAUCUCAGAUUUUCAAGCAUUAGUCCAUGCCAAACAACAUAAUACCAUUCUUAGUACAUGCAAAAUAGAAAACAAAAAUAAAUUUUUCAUCAAAAAAGUAAAAAAUUAAUAUUUUAUAAAACAAGGUAAUAUCACCAACAUAAUAAGAACAGCACAGGAUUACAAGAUUUUCUUUUACUAAAAUGAUCACAGAAUGAUAUCUGUAUGGAAUUCCAGAUCCAAAUUCUUACAGCACCUUCCAUUAUCCAUUCCCAUUAUAAUUC